CACAGAGCUUACACAUCCUUUCCUCAAUUCCACUGCAUUAAAAAAAAAAGAUUACAUUAAAGCAUUGUUUUAACUGGAUUUCUUAGUGGUUGGGUUGGUUUUUCUGUUACAACGUGAAGCCAUCCAAGAUUGUGUAGUGCGAGAAUUUCACAUGUACGUCAGCAUGAGAUGAGUCUGUCUGGUGUUUAAGCACCACUGCUUUAAAACAAAGGGGCCCAC
rnacentral:lncRNA from 1 species